rnacentral:rRNA from 1 species
UACGAAGGGGGCUAGCGUUGCUCGGAAUCACUGGGCGUAAAGGGCGCGUAGGCGGCCGAUUAAGUCGGGGGUGAAAGCCUGUGGCUCAACCACGGAAUUGCCUCGAUACUGGUUGGCUUGAGACCGGAAGAGGACAGCGGAACUGCGAGUGUAGAGGUGAAAUUCGUAGAUAUUCGCAAGAACACCAGUGGCGAAGGCGGCUGUCUGGUCCGGUUCUGACGCUGAGGCGCGAAAGCGUGGGGAGCAAACAGG